AUUGUUAUGCACUAGCUGUCACUGAGUAGGCUAUUGAUUUUAGAUCGUGACGCUCAGAGAUCAGUAGUUGGCCAAUCGCGAGUUGGCUGUGAGAUUGAAAGAAUGCCUGAUAAAGGAUUAGCCGAUCAGGGGUUGUUCACUUGGUGUCGUCAUCAAAGGAGGAAGCCAUGAAUUGAGUGUCAGGGAGAGGCCAUCCCUAUCUGCUCUAGCUGUAUUGUCCCGACUUAUCCCGUCAGAGAUUUUCUGCCCCUAUUGAACAUCAUCGGGAGCCGUACUUGGCCUUCCAACUUUGUUCCUUCUGAAACCAGUAAAGAAGGUUGUGGGG
rnacentral:lncRNA from 1 species